UUUAAGAGCGGCUAAUAAAAAAUCUGUUAUAUAUGUAUAAUAUAUAUAUGACCAGACGAUAAUGUGUUAAUAAAGAUUCCAUACAGGCCUAAAUAUACCGUUAAAAACUACUAUGGCGACACGUUUUAUACGUAAGUAUUUACGUAUGUCUUCGUACCUACUCCAAAGAAGAAAAGAAAGAAUUUGCAUCCUCACACUUUGCAUACUAACUCCAUCACCUUUAAAACCUUUUUUUAUCAUACAAUUACGACUUCGUCAUGGCCAUCAUCGAUCUUCAGUGAAGAACAUUUCGAUGAGGUUAGAAAUACAAAUGCAACGGUAAAUUUCCACCAAGCUCUUUUGCUGAAUAAACAUAUUUUCGAAUAUUGGAUUGACUUCUCCGAAAGUGAUAUCAUUAUAAUCGUAUAGAUCGAUAAGAGUUAACGAUGUUGUAGAUCAUCUUUUUUACCGACUGAGUGACGGAAA